ACCUAUAACUGAUUGGGGUACCUGAGA
rnacentral:piRNA from 1 species